CGCGGGGCACGGUCUUGCCGGGGCGCGCGCCGAAGCGGCGCAUGACGCCGAGCAGGGACGCCUCGGCGGCCGCGUAGCGCGUGGCCGACCACCGGUCGACCAUGCCGCGCGGCGCCGCGGCGGCCUCCUCGGCCUUGACGGCGCGUGGGGGCUUCGUCUCCGGCUCCUCCGCGACGGUGACGGUGACGGCGCGGCCGCGGAGGGGAGCCUUGCUCUUCCUCUCCCUCUUGACGGCCACCAGCACCACCGCCGCGCGCUCUUCCUCCGGCAGGCCCCGCUUCGUCUCCGUCUUCACCGCCCUGCCGCCGCCCUCCUUCUCCUCCGGCAGGUUCGUCCUCUUCUCCUUCUUGACCACCGUGCGCACCUCCUCCUCCUCCUCUGGCGGGCUCCUCCUCUUCUCCGCCUUGACCACCUUGCGCUCCUCCUCCGGCGCCGGCACGGUCGCCUUCUUCGUCCGCUUGGCGACGGCACGGCCACGGCCACGAACGUCGCUCCUCUUCCUCUUGCCCUUGUCCGCCGUGGCCACCACCUUGCGCUCCGCCUCGGGGUCGGCGUCGGCGUCCACGGCUGCCUCCUCGAAAACCUCGACCUUUGGAGCGGGAGCGGGCUUGCGGGCCCUCUUCUUGGGGAGGCUGAAGCUGUGGACGCGGCCGGGCUUCCUCCUCCGCCGCCUCUUGGCCGUCUUCCCCUCCGCCACGUCCGUCGCCUCGCGCUCCUCCCCCUCCUCCUCCUGGCGGCGGCCGGGGCUCCCGCCCCCCUCCGCGUCCGCCUGCGUCUCCUCGAGCAGCCCGAGCAGGUCCUUGGUCUUGACGUUGCUGGAGCUGCCCUCGUCAGCGUUGGCGCCGCUCUCGGCGACGGGGAGAGGGCGUGCGUGGCGGCGAUCGUCGUGGCGCGCGGCGUUGCGGUGGCGGGCGACGUAGUGGACCCGCUUCCGCACGCCCCAGCCGAGGCCCGUGCCCUGCAGCGCCAGCAGGCAGAGGUGGGCGCUUGGCUGCUUCCUCGGCAGCGGCGAAGGCGCUGGCGGCGGUGGUGGGAGCGGGUCCGGGUCGCGCUCCGGCUCCUUCUUGGGGAGGCCGUGCUCUUCCUCUUCCCCCUCCUUGAGGAAGUCGUCCUCGUCCUCGUCCUCCUGCUUGAGGAAGUCGUCCUCGUCCUCCUGCUUGAGGAGGUCGUCGUCGUCCUGCUCUGGCUUGAGGAGGCCGUCGUCGCGGAUGCCCUGCUCCGGCUUGAGGAGGCCGACGUCGCGGAUGCCCUGCUCCGGCUUGAGGAGGCCGACGUCGCGGCCGUCGUGCUCCGGCUUGAGGAGGCCGAUGUGGCGGCCGUCGUGCUCCGGCUUGAGGGGGUCGUGGUGGUGGUGUGGCUUGGGGUGGAUGUCGUUGGCGUGGGCGUGCUCCGGGUCUUGGUGGUUGAGGUGGAGGUGGUGCUUGGAGAAGUCGUAGAGGCGUGGCGCGGCGGCCCAGUAGGCGUCGUCGGGGUCGUGGGCGGCGAGGCCGAGGUCGUCGGCGAUGGCGCGGCGGCGCAGGACUGCGGCGGCGUGGAUGGCCGUGGCGCUCAUGGUCGCGGAUGGAGGGAGGGAGGAUUGCGUUGCAAGAAAGCGAAGGGUAUAAGAAGAAGACAAAUGAGCGGCGGCGAGGUGGUGGUGCUGCAGGCGGGGUGGCAGGUCCGGUCAGAGGAGAAGGGGAAGGGGAAGGAUGGUUGUUGGGUGGCAGCUUUGCUUUGCUUUGCUUUGGCAGGCGAGAUGGAGACGAACACGACGCCUUGAUCCGACCUAUCCCUUUCCAUGCCUCCCUCUGUUCCUCCCUCGGGUGACACACAACAGGAGAUGCCGUCCGUGGGAAAGCAAGCUCAAAAGGGAUCGUCUCGGAUCAAGGAAAGCAGAAAAGCAGUUCCCCAGCAGAGCAGAGGAGAUACGUACGUCGGGGGAAGUGCGUGCUUUAUCGGUUCCCGCCAAAAUUCAAAGCCGGUUCAAAAACGCGGUCGUCCCACCCCGAUGCGCCCCUCUCUCGCUCUAUAUAUAUAUAUCUUCCCGCCAAGAAAAAAAAGGCAGGCGAGGGCGUGUGUGACGGCUGAACUAACUAUAAUCACUCGCCCACCGUCAAAGUAAAAAAUUAAGCUGGCAAUUAUUACUGCCAAGCUGAUCAGGCAGGCCCUGCUGGUCAUAUGGGGGUCGGUCUGGGUCUGCCAGAGAUUUCAUUCAUUUCACUCAAGGGAUGUGCUCAGGUAGCUUGCUUGCUUGCUGCACUCGUGGUGAUCCUGGGCAUCCUAAUUAAGCCCAUGCGUGAUAGGAUUGUUACAAAGGAUUUCAUACGUUACAUGAGGCUACUGCUCAUCAAGUAUAUAUAUGCUUGCUUGUGCUGGCAACAAGAUGCCUCAUCAUCAUGCUGUGCGUUGGUAAUUAUUAUGGAGGAUCAAGCUCACAAGUCAAGAAACUUGCUUUUUUUUUCUCUCCCAUCAAUUAGCAGCCAGCCAAGGGCUGUGAUCCUGUGAAUAACAACACAGGAGGCCCAAAAGUUACAGCCCUCCGUUGGCACCACUACACUACACUGCCCUACCCUACCCACAGCGCGAAAGCCGAGCAGCGGCAACUGGAUAGAUACCUCACCUCCUCCUACAAGCCUAUCUUUCCAUCCAUCAGCCUUCUACUUCUACUCUACAUCUACAUCUACAUCAACGUCAUGGCGAGGAGGGAGGAGCCCUUCUACUUCCCGGAGCACCAAAAAAUGGCAGUACCGCCCUCUCCGGGCCCCGAGGGGAGCUCAACUCACGCGGUCGUGCACGCGAGGUACUCGCCACGGUCGUAGCGCAGUCCCCGGAGCGCCGCCCAGCGCAGCGUGGGGACCAGGACAGCGCCAGGGACGCCCAGGGCCUCGCAGACGUCACGCGCCGGCGCCGUCUUUGACCGUGCGUCCACGCCUAGCGAUGCCAAGGCCGCAUUCAGGGCCGCGGAGGAGGGCUCCGUCGCAAUCCUGCAACGUAAAACAACAGAAGCAAGGGCGAUCACUAUUUUCAGCGCGUGCGUGCAGAAAAAGGGGUUUCGACGGGGGAUGGAUGAUGGCGGGGAGGAACCGUGGUGCUUACGUUAGAUCGAAGCGGUCCGCGUCGGAGACCAUCGCGGCGCAGACGCCCGAGACGACCCACGGCGGGAGCGCUGCGUCCUUUAUCUCCAUGCUGUAGCACAUGCUGCCCGCCGCGAGAGGGGGAGGAUCAGACGCUGCUGAUCCUGGUUCUCCUGCGCCGUCGGAAACGCUAGACGAGGCCAGGCCGCUGUCGGCCUUCCUCAUCUCUCUGCAUAUCACCUGCAAGACCAUGUUUUCAAGGAGGGUAUAAAAUUUUCCAAGUUUUUGCACAAACAAAGUGAAGCGUUAUAAAACAUAGUGUAGCUGCUCCGAAUUCGAGUCAAUGAGUAAGGUGAUUCUAGACAGAGGGUUCUGCAACUUAUCAACAGAGAAUCCAGUGAAGAAAAUACUUGACACUAAUGAUAAUUGUGCAGUAGCACCACCACAUGGUUAAUAACUGGACAUAAAAGUGAGUGCGCAAAACCAUUCUGCUGCCUUAGGUAGAGCAGGCAGGAAUAGAAACAAAUUCGAUGGAAUGAAACUACCUCCGGAAUAUGGAGGCAACCAUUUUGAAAUGGCGCCGGCGAGUAUAGCACCGGGACGUCCGUAGUGGAUAAUGAAUUCAGAAAGGACCUGGGAAAAAAAUCACAAGAUUAGAUUACACAACAUGAAAACCCAGGGGGGUAAUACGAAUGAUUAUUACAGAUUAAUCACCCUACUUGUAGUUCAACAAGACAUCAUAUAAGCCAUGAACGCUCUUAUUGCCAGUAAAUGAAAGGAGCGACUGUGUGGUGUUGUCCACCUCAGAUAAAGCAUCUAUAUGAACUGUCUGCGCAUUCAAUAGAGAACACAGUCAGUCCAGUAGCUGCAGCCUGACUAAAGCAAAUAAGGGAAGGCUGAAGAAUCAAAUAGAACCUGGCCCAGGUCAAGUGUUCGGAUUUUUGAGAACUCGAUCAGGUCGUCUUCGGUAGCCUGCUCCAGUUCGGCCUUGCAAAGGGGCAUAGAAAAGCAAACACCCUGCAACAAUGCAGCCAUAUGGUCACACAAUUAUGAUUGUAAGUGACAAUGAUGUUUUAACCCAGUGCAAAGAUUGAAAUCAACACAGCUUGGAUUGGCCUGGAGCAAUUCGAUGCCCUAGAGACCAACAUACCAAGUCAAUAUUUCAUUCCUAUUAUGGUACUCCCUCUGUAAACUAAUAUAAGACGUUUUAGAUCACUAGUUUACAGAGGAAUACUAAAUAAGGUAGAAAAUUGACUUCAACAACCAAAAAGAUGGUUCUUUCAGUAAAUUGGGCAAACAGAAGAAGCAUUGGGUUAACCACAAAAGUAUUAAAGAUGCUUUAUUCACAUGUGGAACUAGUAUGAUGUUGUAACUCAUGUGUCGUAAGUCGCAAACAAAAUGAAAGAGGAAAAUGAAGAAAUCUAGAAUAGACUUGCCAACCAAUAAGUUGAUCUACUUGAUUGAAGUAACACUUAGAAGUUGCAAGCAGUAAUGUACAUAAUGGUUGGUCUGUAACAGAGAUGUGGGCAUGUGGCACUGUAAUAGGGAUUUUAAAAAGAAAUGUGAAAAGAUGAUGAGGUUGAAAAAACAAAAUGAAGGACUGACCUGUUUUCGUAGUAGUGACCUCAUGCCAAGUGUAGAUUGUGAUAAGUAGGCAUUACAGGACUGCUUCUCCAAACAGUUUCCACCAAUAAAUAGAGCAACAAAUUGUGCUGUAUAAACUUCAAUAACAAAAGUGAUGUAAGAUGAAGAGGUUGAGACAUAGAGUAACAGUCUAGUAGAACCUAAAGAUUCAACACUUCCAAGGAAAAUGAAAUAUAUACGACUUAUCAAAUUAUUACGAAGGACCGAGUUCUGAGGAGCAAGAAGAUACCAUAGAAAAUAUUCAACAGAUUCUUCCGGAACAUGUAGUACAGAUUCUGAAAAGAAUCUUCCCAAUCCUGAUACCUUUUGUGAAUGAACUCUUUUUCUACAUGCCAGAAGGAGAAAAGUUAAAGAGAUACAUCCACAAAAGUACCUGGAUAUUUUAUCUUGAAAAGCACACAAUAGUUCAGGUCUAGUAAUUACCUCUUUGUGCAGUUGAUGCGAGCAUAGCAGAUACGAUGGGAGCAGGUAACAUGGAUUGUGGAUAUACCCAUGACUGCAGUGCCUUCGAGAACAAGACUUCCUUGUUGCUCUCUUGCCUCAUGCUUCCUGAACUUUGAGACCUACCAUUAAAACUCUGAGCAAUUGGUCCAGCAACACUGCCCCUACAACUUGUACUCAAAUUGUGACACCUGUUGCAGGCAAGAGUUAUUAUACUUUGGGCCUUUGAGGCAGAAAAUCUAAGCAAAACUAAACAAAGACGAGAGGGCUCAAUUUGCAAGUAAUUUUCAAUUAGUUUUCCUAGUGACAGUAUGCUGUACUACACAUGAUAUCACUAGGAGCACUGGAUCAUACAGACACCAAUACCUAAUUGAAAUUUCUGGAAAAAAAUUGCAGGUGCAGUAAGCAUCCAGUGAGACUAAAUGACUGACAGACACAUACCAUUUACAUAUUUAAUGUUCAGAGUGUCAAUCUAAGAUAUGCCACCAGUUCAAUCAAGAUACUCAUGAACUUUCUCUGGGAAGGGUACAUUUUCUAAACGAAAACAAGGAAGAAAAGCAAGAGAAGCUAAUGCAUACGGACCA
rnacentral:lncRNA from 1 species